rnacentral:rRNA from 1 species
UGGGGAAUAUUGCACAAUGGGCGCAAGCCUGAUGCAGCCAUGCCGCGUGUGUGAAGAAGGCCUUCGGGUUGUAAAGCACUUUCAGCGAGGAGGAAGGUGGUGAACUUAAUACGUUCAUCAAUUGACGUUACUCGCAGAAGAAGCACCGGCUAACUCCGUGCCAGCAGCCGCGGUAAUACGGAGGGUGCAAGCGUUAAUCGGAAUUACUGGGCGUAAAGCGCACGCAGGCGGUUUGUUAAGUCAGAUGUGAAAUCCCCGGGCUCAACCUGGGAACUGCAUUUGAAACUGGCAAGCUAGAGUCUCGUAGAGGGGGGUAGAAUUCCAGGUGUAGCGGUGAAAUGCGUAGAGAUCUGGAGGAAUACCGGUGGCGAAGGCGGCCCCCCUGGACGAAGACUGACGCUCAGGUGCGAAAGCGUGGGGAGCAAAACAGGAUUAGAUACCCUGGUAGUCCACGCUGUAAACGAUGUCGAUUUGGAGGUUGUGCCCUUGAGGCGUGGCUUCCGGAGCUAACGCGUUAAAUCGACCGCCUGGGGAGUACGGCCGCAAGGUUAAAACUCAAAUGAAUUG